rnacentral:tRNA from 1 species
GCCCCGGUGGCAAAAUGGUUAAGUACUCUGCUGCUGACUGAAAUGUUGGUGGUUCGAACCCACCCAGUUGCU